rnacentral:rRNA from 1 species
CCCAGACUCCUACGGGAGGCAGCAGUCGGGAAUAUUGCGCAAUGGAGGAAACUCUGACGCAGUGACGCCGCGUGCAGGAAGAAGGUUUUCGGAUUGUAAACUGCUUUAGACAGGGAAGAAACAAGACAGUACCUGUAGAAUAAGCUCCGGCUAACUACGUGCCAGCAGCCGCGGUAAUACGUAGGGGGCAAGCGUUGUCCGGAAUGACUGGGCGUAAAGGGAGUGUAGGCGGCCUUUUAAGUUAUAUGUGAAAGCCCCCGGCUUAACCGAGGAACUGCAUAUAAAACUGGAGGGCUGGAGUGCAGGAGAGGUAAGCGGAAUUUCUAGUGUAGCGGUGGAAUGCGUAGAUAUUAGGAAGAACACCGGAGGCGAAGGCGGCUUACUGGACUGUAACUGACGCUGGGGCUCGAAAGCGUGGGGAGCAAACAGGAUUAGAUACCCGUGUA